ensembl:lncRNA
GAUCUCAGUAGCUAGAAUGUUUUGGUGUAACGUACAUUCGUUUAACAAAUAUUUAUUGAGAUUAUGCAUCAGGCACUGUACUAAGUGGUGUUGGAAAAUCCAGGUCUUGCUCUGGGUCUGCCCAUGUUAACUCACUGUUGGACCUGUUCACAAGACAAACACUUAACCUCUCUGCUUCUUUUCUCAGUGCAGUAUAUCAACACACUGCUUAUCUCAAAGCCUAACAUUGAAGAUCCAAAGAGAUAAAAUAAUGUCUUCAUCAGAGCUGCAGCUUUCCAGAUGAGUCACUUUUUCACAACUGAUACUGUCAUCUUUAACUACGUGAAGAUGGAGAGAGUAGCAGGAGCGGAUCUGGUCAUUGUGACGUGAGCUUCCUAGUUGAUGUCUUUGUAAAGAUGUUUUCAGAGCAAAGUUAAAUUUUAUAAUUGGGAAGCUAUGAAACUCUUCUGAAAUUGCUGUCUAGUCAUUGUACUGAGAACAGGAAUCCCAUUUUUCAAAGUACAGUGCGGACAACAGAGUACAAAGGUUAAGGGGAGAGAUACCUUGAGAAGCCUCCCUCAUAGUCGUAUAAAAAUGACAAGUACAUGAAGGUGGGAAAAAAAAUUCUUUUUGUAGAAAAUGUUAUUCCAAAAAUGGAUUUUUCCCUGGGCAAGCUGUGCCAGUUGCCCCUCACACGGUGCAUGGUGCCUGGGGAAGAUGCUCUCCUUUUCAUCACUCUUUUGUCAUUGAAAUCUGCCUUCUUGAUUGCCCCUUCCUCUAAGUCUGGAUUCAGGUAAGGGAUGAAUUCGAACUCCGCCAUGUUCUAUUGAGAGAUGAAAGGUUAAGUGAAAAGUGAGUGCAUUGAGAGGGUGUGGGAGAAAAUUUUAUUAGGAACCAUAAAAUUAUGAACAUAAUUAUGCCUCAUAGAGUUCCAGCAUGUUGUAUCUAAACUGCAUUUGACUAGUUCUUUAUAUUAUUUAUAUUUGUUAUUACAAAUUGAUCCUGAAUAAUAUCAAUUUCUUAAUAAAGAAUUGUAGAGCUGAAUCUAUUUCAUU